GUGAAUCAUCGAAUUUUUGAACGCAAAUUGCACUCUCUUCGGAGAGUAUGCCUGUUUGAGGGUCAGUAUUAAUAAAAAUCGGAUUGGUUGCAAAUUGUUACGUUUCCGGAGUUUGGGCUUCUCUUAACUUUUUUGGUUAAGGGGCUUAAAAUUGACCUUUUUUGCUCAUUUUUAGACGUACAUAACUUUUUUUUUAUUCGUCUAUUCUUCAUUCAAAAAUCUUAUUAGAUGAGAUCACAACGUGUGGCUU
rnacentral:misc_RNA from 1 species